GUCGUUGUAGUAUAGUGGUGAGUAUUCCCGCCUGUCAUCCGGGUGACCUGGGUUCGAUCCCCGGCAACGGCG
rnacentral:tRNA from 2 species